rnacentral:rRNA from 1 species
UACGAAGGGUGCAAACGUUGCUCGGAAUUAUUGGGCGUAAAGCGCACGUAGGCGGCUUUUCAAGUCGGAUGUGAAAUCCCUCGGCUUAACCAAGGAAGUGCAUCCGAAACUGGAAAGCUUGAGUACUUAAGAGGAUCGCGGAAUUCCCGGUGUAGAGGUGAAAUUCGUAGAUAUCGGGAGGAACACCAGUGGCGAAGGCGGCGACCUGGGCCAAUACUGACGCUGAGGUGCGAAAGCGUGGGGAGCAAACAGG